CUGACACAGGGAGGUAGUGACAAUAAAUAACUAGACCGGGCUUUAUAGUCUAGUCAUAGGAAUGAGAGUAAUUUAAAUCCCUUAUCGAGGAUCAAUUGGAGGGCAAGUCUGGUGCCAGCAGCCGCGGUAAUUCCAGCUCCAAUAGCGUAUACUAAAGUUGUUGCAGUUAAAAAGCUCGUAGUUGGAUUUCUGGUCGAGGCAGCCGGUCGGCACCAAGUGUGUUUGUACCAGGCGCCUCGUCCAUUUUUGUAGAAGCUGUGUCUGUCAUUCAGUUGUCGGGCAUAGGGUCUGCAUCAUUUACUGUGAGCAAAAUAGAGUGUUCAAAGCAGGCUUAGGCCAUGAAUACAUUAGCAUGGAAUAAUAAGAUAAGACCUUGGUCUAUUUUGUUGGUUAGCAUUCCGAGGUAAUGAUUAAUAGGGAUAGUUGGGGGUAUUCGUAUUCAAUUGUCAGAGGUGAAAUUCUUGGAUUUAUUGAAGACGAACUACUGCG
rnacentral:rRNA from 1 species